GCCAACUGCAGCAACAUAGAUGGACCUGGAGAUUAUUGUGCUAAAUGAAGCUGACUCGCCUCAUGGCUGCAAGAUGGCUGCCAGAAGCAGCUCUAGCACUUGCUUCUUCGGUCACGUCCAGAGAGAAGGAGAGGAAACUUUCAGUUCCUUUCAGUUUGAACUGGGAGGACCCACCUCUUCCCAGGAACUCUGGCAGUGCUGCUCAGGGACCAUGACAGAGAUGGAGCCUGGCUGUGAGCCCGAGAUGGCGUGGACGGGACGUGGGUGGAGCCCACCGGCUGGGUCCCAGGACAGAGCAGUGCAGGUGACAGACAGAGGGACGGAAGAGGGGCGUUCUAGAGUGUGAGGUGCAGGAUCUGCUGGGGGGACCGGGAAGACGCCGGUUGGGGUCCCUGCCCUGCAGUAGGACACUCUGCUACUGUUGUCACGAGCAAUACAAGUCUCACCCGCAGCUGAAACAAUGACCACAAAGGCUGCUGCUUCCAGUCCUGAGGGCCACCCCUGGGAACUGGAACUGUCUGCUUCCUCAGGCGCAGCCUCGAUUUUCAUGGGAGAAAAGCCAGCAGGCUUUUUUCGAUUCCCCAGAUGCCAGCAGGCCAGCUCCUCUGUUACCUCCCUCUUCCUCCAGGUCUGGUCUCUUCUCAUAGGGAAACAGGCACCGGAACACACACACACACACACACACACACAUACACACACACACACACACACACAGAGACACCUGCACGCCCUCUCCCAGGUCUUACCUGCUCUGUCACUCUGGCCACCACAUGUGGAGAGAGUGCAUUCCACUUUGGGUGUGGAGUGCAGACACAAAAGAGACAUGUUCACCUUCCCUACUUACAAAGAGACACUGACUGGAAAUUCUCAAAGGAAGAGCAGUAGGGCCCUGACGCCUCAGGCUGGUUCAGGGCACAGUCUCUGGGCAACCCCAGCCCGAGGCUGAGUGUUUUGAGGGGCAGCGCCUAGAGCUUCCGGGUCCUCACUCUACAAGCUAGAAGGGAUCCUGGGGGCUUGUGAUGCCAGUACGACUUGCAGCUUCACAGAGGAGGGACAGGGCCCAGAGAGGAGUCACCUCUGGCCACAUGGUUCACCCCCUGGAGCCUGGUCUGGGGCACAGUCUGGGGGGUGGGAUGUAGGGUGGCCGAAGCCCUAGGGAGGGAUACGUUUCCAGGAAUAUGUGUCAGCCUCCGGAGCUUGUUACCUGAGAAGAACCAGCAGGAGAAGUCAGCAAGCUCCGAGGCCCACCUCUGCUCACCACAAGGUGGCAACAGCGCUUUGUAGGAGCCCCAGCUUGAGGGGUGGUGUCCAGCGCUAAGGACCGGACCUCACCUCCAGAGCCCCGAUGGUCUGGUAUUCCUUUAAUGUCUUCAGGUGAGGCUGAGACUUCGUUUCAUGUGGGCCUGGGUGUGCCUCUCUCUCCUGUCUGAUUGCCUUAACUCGGUCUGACUUGCACCUGCUGACCAGUUCUGAUUUCCCCCCGCCUCCCUUCAGCUCUUCCAUAAGCUCUGUGGGAGUGUGGAGGACAGGAGGACAGAGUUCUACUCACGGGACUCUAAAAAGGCCAGUGGGAAGAUGAGCCAGAGAUCAAAACCCCAUCAGACAACAGAUGAAUACAUGUAUGCUGUACAGAACCUCGUCCAUCUUCAUACAAGCAGGGUCCCAGUCGUGUCCAAACCGAAUGACGACCACGCGGUCUUCUUCCGAGAGGAUGGCCUGAUCCACUUGCCAGCCAUUGUACAGGUGCGGGAGUAUGUACGACAUCUUGGGGCCGACGGGUCUG